GAUGAACGCUGGCUACAGGCUUAACACAUGCAAGUCGAGGGGAAACGACGGGGAAGCUUGCUUCCCCCGGGCGUCGACCGGCGCACGGGUGAGUAACGCGUAUCCAACCUGCCUCUGACUGAGGGAUAACCCGUCGAAAGUCGGCCUAAUACCUCAUGGCAUCGUCUGCGGGCAUCCAACGACGAUUAAAGAUUUCAUCGGUCAGGGAUGGGGAUGCGUCUGAUUAGCUUGUUGGCGGGGUAACGGCCCACCAAGGCUACGAUCAGUAGGGGUUCUGAGAGGAAGGUCCCCCACAUUGGAACUGAGACACGGUCCAAACUCCUACGGGAGGCAGCAGUGAGGAAUAUUGGUCAAUGGGCGAGAGCCUGAACCAGCCAAGUAGCGUGCAGGAAGACGGCCCUAUGGGUUGUAAACUGCUUUUAUGCGGGGAUAAAGUGAGGGACGUGUCCUUCAUUGCAGGUACCGCAUGAAUAAGGACCGGCUAAUUCCGUGCCAGCAGCCGCGGUAAUACGGAAGGUCCGGGCGUUAUCCGGAUUUAUUGGGUUUAAAGGGAGCGUAGGCCGUGGAUUAAGCGUGUUGUGAAAUGCAGGUGCUCAACGUCUGCACUGCAGCGCGAACUGGUCCACUAGAGUGUGCGCAACGCAGGCGGAAUUCGUCGUGUAGCGGUGAAAUGCUUAGAUAUGACGAAGAACUCCGAUUGCGAAGGCAGCUUGCGGGAGCACAACUGACGCUGAAGCUCGAAAGUGCGGGUAUCGAACAGG
rnacentral:rRNA from 1 species